UUUGACGUGCGCGCGCUGAUUGUGCUAUUUAGAGUUUCUUCUUCUUCGUCGUCGAUCUAGGAUGGGUUCCACGCAUCAGCCUGGGAUAGCAAGGAUGGAUGUUGUUAUUUUAUCGUUUGUUUUUGUCCGUAGUCGUACCCUGCUCUUAUCCAUGAUGAUUGUAUGUAUUGUACUGAUGUGACUCUGAUGUAGCUUGUGGUGAGUGUAAGCCAAUUCCAUAUACUCACAUUUUCAGUACAUGUACUUGUAACGAUAUCCAUUCUUGCAAAAUGACCAGAUGCGCUUCUAUCCCUGUCGAGGUCCUCGCGCCAAAAUAAGGAUAGGAUCGCAUCUUGGUCGUUACAAGUUGGUAUCAGAGCAGUACCGACCUAGGAGCCCCCUUGAUUAAUCGAAUUUGGCUGAGUCGAGUCUAGUGGAAAACUGCUUUGAGUCUAGUUAUAUAUCGGAGAGUAGGAUUCUUUUUUCUCCUCUUCUAUUCUCUGGUGUGGAAUCUUGACAUAAUUAUUUUAAUUCUACUCCUCUUCUCACUCAAUUUUUUUAGGAUCACGCGGAUAUUUUGGAAUCUAUAUGAUGUCGAUGUGACGGAAUUCUGACUUGCUUCCUCCUGUUGUGUUGAUUUUAUUCCGGGGAGUUAAUAUCCAAGGGAUUCUUGAGCACAUCGUUAUCAUUCAGAUUUCUUAGUAUCUCAGGACAGAGGAUGUUCGAAAUUGCUUCAAUACUGCUAGUGGCGAGAUAACCCCGACAUCCCCAGUACUUGUGCACAGAGUUCGGAAGUAUCGCCAUACUUAGUAUCGUUGUGAUUACGAGGGUUUGAGAUAGACGAGGUUCUGAUAUUCUGGUUAUGUGUUGAUGGAUGUGAUACACUGGACAGGUUAGAUGCUAGGAGUUGAGUGAUGAUUUUCACCUUGUAUCCAUGGACCCGAUUGCAUGACCAGAAAUUUUGGGAGUUCUUAGGUGGGAAUUCAAGUAGUUAUUUAUAGGACAAUCUUCCAACAGAUGCAUGAUGUGUGUUUGGGGUUCGACAUCUAGUGGAUUCAUUUGUUCACGAUCGUCUUACAAUGGUUCUCGUUGUGUCUUAAAGAGUCCUUGUAGAUUGCUACAACUCGGGGAUGCUUCGUAUGUCGUGUGCACUGCCUUGUACAUGAUGGCUACUGUAGGAUAGAGCCCGUGCGAGCCUCAUCAGCGAAAAUAUCGGACAGAACUCUCUCAUGAAUUUGUUCUGGCUUGUUUCGUAAGCCUCAUCCUUUGUUUUGUUAGAGUAUGGUAAUUCGAGUUGCUUCGAUGUCAAGUAGCGAAUUCAUACCUUUCGAAGAAGUGUUCUCAUAAUUUUAUGGGAAUGCAAAUUCUUUUGCUCAAUCAAGUUGUGUUUUCAAUUCUUGUCAACCGGAGUCGUCAUGUGAAUUCUUUUUCAACCGGUGUGCUUCUCUUCAAGUGAAUUCAAUCCUGUCCAAUAUUUCAAGAUUAAUCCCUCA
rnacentral:lncRNA from 1 species